rnacentral:pre_miRNA from 1 species
AGUGUAAUUGCUAGGUCAUAUGGUAGUUAUAUGUUUAGCUUUUCAAGAAACUUCCAAAUCGUUUUCAGAGUAGAUAACUAUUUACAUUCUCAUCAGCAAA